GCCCUUUUAGCUCAGUGGUAGAGCGUCAGUCUUGUACGUCAGUAAAACUGAAGGUCGUCGGUUCGAUCCCGUCAGGGGGCA